GAGUUUGAACCUGGCUCAGGAUGAACGCUGGCGGCGUGCCUAACACAUGCAAGUCGAACGAAGCGCCAUACAGGAAGCCUCCGGGCGGAAUGCUUGGCGACUGAGUGGCGGACGGGUGAGUAACGCGUGGGCAACCUGCCCCAUACAGGGGGAUAACGGCUAGAAAUGGCCGCUAAUACCGCAUAAGCGCACAGCAGCGCAUGCUGCAGUGUGAAAAGCCCUGGCAGUAUGGGAUGGGCCCGCGUCCGAUUAGCUGGUUGGUGGGGUAACGGCCCACCAAGGCGACGAUCGGUAGCCGACCUGAGAGGGUGACCGGCCACAUUGGGACUGAGACACGGCCCAAACUCCUACGGGAGGCAGCAGUGGGGGAUAUUGCACAAUGGGGGGAACCCUGAUGCAGCAACGCCGCGUGGGUGAAGGAGUACCCCGGUACGUAAAGCCCUAUCGGCAGGGAAGAAGAUGACGGUACCUGACUAAGAAGCCCCGGCUAACUACGUGCCAGCAGCC
rnacentral:rRNA from 1 species